UGGAUACAGGAAGGUCUCAUAGGUCUUGGAGUUGGUGUCCUCUAUGGAACUACAAGUGUAGCUGUUGGGCAUCCUUUUGAUACCAUCAAGACAAAGAUGCAGGCACAGAGAGGAUUUGAAACAGAAGGGAUGAUCAAAUCAUUUGUGAAGACAGUUAGAACACAAGGCAUUAGAGGGCUUUAUAGAGGGUGUAUUCCGCCUCUUUGGGGAUCAGGAAUCUACAGGUCUAGUCAGUUUGCUGUAUUCGAGGCCUUGUGAGUAGAAACAAAAGUGUAACAUCUCCAUCUACAUAGUAGCACGUGAUUAUGUACGACUGUUCACUACUACUAGCCUAUGGACUACAUGUACAAUUAUAGUGAAGGCAUCAAUUUGAGCCUAGUAGGCCAUCACACCAGCACUUAUAUUGCAGGGCUGCCGUACAUUAACAAUAAAUUUACUAGUGAUAUGUAGUACAUUGUAUACAGUGGUUUUUGCCAUGUGUGCAUGCUCAUUAAAGUAUUCUCUUGUGUCCGCCAUCUUGAGUUACACGCGUGUGUUCUUCCUCUCCAAAAACAUAACAUUUCUGGUGACACGGAUGCUGCAAUAUGACCAGCUUAGGGAGGAUUGAAGAGUUCGACCCUAAGAAUACAAAUAUCGACCACUACUUGGAUC